CGGUAUGCUUAACACAUGCAAGUUGAACGGAUCUAAGGCAACUUAGGUUAGUAACGGACGGGUGAGUAACAUGUAAGAAUCUGCGCUUAGGUGGGGGAUAACAGUUGGAAACGCCUGCUAAUACCCCAUACAGCUAUUAAGUGAAAGAAUUUUCGCCUAAGCAUGAGCUUGCAUCUGAUUAGUUAGUUGGUAGGGUAAAAGCUUACCAAGACUUUGAUCAGUAGCUGGUUUGAGAGGAUGAUCAGCCACACGGGGAUUGAGAACGGAACCGACUCUUACGGGAGGCAGCAGUGAGGAAUUUUCCGCAAUGGGUGAAAGCCUGACGGAGCAAUACCGCGUGAAGGAUGACGGCCUUAGGGUUGUAAACUUCUUUUCUCAUUGAAGAAUAUAUGACGGUAUUUGAGGAAUAAGCACUGGCUAAUUUCGUGCCAGCAGCCGCGGUAAUACGAGAAGUGCAAGCGUUUUCCGAUGUUAUUGGGCGUAAAGAGUUUGUAGGUUGCCUUGUGUGUUUAACGUUAAAUGUUAGAGCUUAACUCUAGAAUCGCGUUGAAUACUACUAGGCUUGAGUAUGAUAGAGGCAAAGGGAAUUUCCAGUGUAGCGGUGAAAUGCGUAGAUAUUGGGAAGAACACCAACGGCGAAAGCACUUUGCUAGGUUAAUACUGACACUGAGAAACGAAAGCUAAGGUAGCAAAACGGAUUAGACACCCGUGUAGUCUUAGCUGUAAACUAUGGAUACUAAGUGGUGCACAAGUACUGCUGAAGCUAACGCGUUAAGUAUCCCGCCUGGGGAGUACGCUUGCAAAAGUGAAACUCAAAGGAAUUGACGGGGGCCCGCACAAGCGGUGGAGCAUGUGGUUUAAUUCGAUGGUACACGAAGAACCUUACCAGGGUUUGACAUGCUAGGAAGCUUUCUGAAAAGAAGGCGUAUCUUCGGAAACCUAGACACAGGUGGUGCAUGGCUGUCGUCAGCUCGUGUUGUGAGAUGUUAGGUUAAGUCCGUCAACGAGCGCAACCCUCUUUUUUAGUUUUAUCUAAAAAUACUGCCGACUAUAAGUCGGAGGAAGGUGGGGAUAACGUCAAGUCCUCACGCCCCUUAUAUCCUGGGCUACACACGUGCUACAUGGUUAAGACAACGAGUCGCAAGCUUGUGAAAGUAAGCAAAUCUCUUAAACUUAACCUUAGUUCGGAUUGUAGGCUGCAACUCGCCUACAUGAAGCUGGAAUCGCUAGUAAUCGCCGGUCAGCUAUACGGCGGUGAAUACGUUCUCGGGCCUUGUACACACCGCCCGUCACACCAUGGGAGCUGGUCAUGCCUAAUGUCGUUAUCUUAACCGUGAGGAGAGAAAUGCCUAAGGCCGGGUUGGUGACUGGGGUGAAGUCGUAACAAGGUA
rnacentral:rRNA from 1 species